CAUUUUUUAACCAGUAGAAAAAUAAUCAAUUAUGCAAAAAUGUCCGUAAACACAAACUAAGUAAUUUCCAACAUAACUCAGGACCAUCGGUGAUAAUGCCAGAAAUAUUCACUAAGCCAGUCUCAAGCAAACUAUGGUCUGAGGGCCAAUCCAGCUCCCAGCUGACCUGGGACCCAAGGAUGUUUUUUAUGUUUUUUAAAACAUGGUAACAAAGAAAGCGCAGAAGAAUCAACAGCAACUGUUCAUAACCGGCAACAUCUAAGAUAUUUCCAGAAAAAAGUUUGCCUACCCCUGUAGCAAGCAGUUCCAAACUCCGUGAGGUGAACUGCGUUUUCCAUCUCAGACCACACGCAGGUGGAUAAAGCCUUCUGUCCUAGUGUUGACUUUCCACGGUGGGGGCACAGGCUGGUGGGUAAGCUAGGCCAGGAAAGAAGAUGGCGUUAGAUAAGGGCUUCAAAGAAACAGGCCUCAGGGUUGGUGGAGAAGUAGGGAGUGGCUUGUUAGGAGGGUGAUUCUUAAAAUGAACCUUCAAGGCCAUUGGAGAUUUUGAGGCAUACAGGAGGGGAGAGUGAACAGGGGAUCAGAGAGACCAGAAUGCAGGCAGUUUCUGUAACCCGCUGAGACUCACUCUCAGAAGCACUUAGGUGGCUGAAGGUGGCCUACCAGGCCGGAACGUGAGAGAGGGGCUUGUGGCAGCCACGUCUAUGCUGCCAGAAGAGCUGCCUCAGAGCUGCCUGUCGUUGGCCCUUGGAAGCCGAGGGAGAUACUAAAGUUUCUAGAGAAAGUUGAAGAAGCAGCUGUGAGGGAAAAGUCAGAGAGAGGCAUCAGGAGGCAUGAAGCAUACUGGCAUGAGGCCUGCAGUGGACAAACACACAGAUCUUCAUCACUACAAAAAAGAUGCCUUGAUUUUCUCCCAUCCCAUCAAGCCAAACCUCAGAGGACCGCAGGAGGGAGAACUUGGUGGAGUAAACACACAGAGAACUUGAAGCACCUGUUGAACCACUCUUUUGGGUUGAAGAGAAUCCCUAAAGAACUGACACUGUCAGGUAUUCUUUAUGGUCAGGGAGUUAAUGGCCUAAAGUUCAAUUUGGGCUGAACAUUCUAAUAAGGCAGGUUCAAAU
rnacentral:lncRNA from 1 species